rnacentral:rRNA from 1 species
GAUGAACGCUGGCGGCGUGCCUAAUACAUGCAAGUCGAGCGACGCGGUAACGGCUGACUAACACGUGGAUAACCUCCUAUAAUACUCUGCUAACUUCGGGAAACCAGAACUCAACCCGAUACUUCUAGAUGUAUCCGCGGUGCAUUAGCUAGUUGGUAAGGUAACGGCUUACAAAGGCAACGAUGCAUAGCCGAGCUGAGAGGGUGAUCGGCCACACUGGAACUGAGACACGGUCCAGACUCCUACGGGAGGCAGCAGUAGGGAAUCUUCCGCAAUGGGCGAAAGUCUGAUGGAGCAACGCCGCGUGAGUGAUGAAGGUCUUCGGAUCGUAAAACUCUGUUAUUAGGGAAGCGGUAACUAACCAGAAAGCCACGGCUAACUACGUGCCAGCAGCCGCGGUAAUUC